GACGAACGCUGGCGGCGUGCUUAACACAUGCAAGUCGAACGGAAAGGCACUGCGUUUGUGGUGUUAUCGAGGGGGGAACGGGUGAGUAACACGUGAGUAACCUGCCCUAGACUUUGGGGUAACUUCAGGAAAGUGGGGCUAAGAUAGGAUAGGAGAUCCCGUAGGAGGGUGGGGGGUGGAAAGUCUCGGCGGUCGGGGAUGGAUGCGCGGCUUAUCAGCUUGCUGGUUGGGUAGUGGAUUACCAAGGCUUUGACGGGUAGCCGGCCGGAGAGGGUGGCCGGCGACAUUGGGGCUGAGAUACGGCCCAGACUCCUACGGUGGGCAGCAGUGGGGAAUAUUGCACAAUGGGCGGAAGCCUGAUGCAGCAACGCCGCGUGCGGGAUGACGGCUUUCGGGUUGUAAACCGCUUUCGCCUGUGACGAAGCGUGAGUGACGGUAAUGGGUAAAGAAGCACCGGCUAACUACGUG
rnacentral:rRNA from 1 species